CCUACGGGAGGCUGCAGUGAGGAAUAUUGGUCAAUGGGCGAGAGCCUGAACCAGCCAAGUCGCGUGAAGGAUGACGGCCCUACGGGUUGUAAACUUCUUUUGUCAGGGAGCAAUUGGGUCCACGCGUGGGCUUAGCGAGAGUACCUGAAGAAAAAGCAUCGGCUAACUCCGUGCCAGCAGCCGCGGUCAUACGGAGGAUGCGAGCGUUAACCGGAAGGACUGGGCGUAAAGGGUGCGUAGGUGGGUUGACAAGGUAGUAGGGCAACUCCGGAGCUCAACUUCGGAACUACUACUAAAACUGUUGGACUUGAGUGCAGGAGGGGCAAUCGGAAUUCCUAGUGUAGCGGUGGAAUGCGUAGAUAUUAGGAGGAACACCAGUGGCGAAGGCGGAUUGCUAGACUGUAACUGACACUGAGGCACGAAAGCGUGGGGAGCAAACAGGAUUAGAUACCCCAGUAGUC
rnacentral:rRNA from 1 species